rnacentral:rRNA from 1 species
AGGGUAGAUUGUCCUUCGGGACGAUUGAGACUGGCGAACGGGUGAGUAACGCGUAGAUAAUCUGCCUCUAACACUGACAUAACAUCGAGAAAUCGUUGCUAAUAUCAGAUAUUGCCGCAAGGUGAAAGGCUAUGCCGGUUAGAGAUGAGUCUGCGUCUGAUUAGCUAGUUGGUAGGGUAAUGGCCUACCAAGGCAACGAUCAGUAGCUGGUUUGAGAGGAUGAUCAGCCACACUGGAACUGAGACACGGUCCAGACUCCUACGGGAGGCAGCAGUGAGGAAUUUUGCACAAUGGGGGAAACCCUGAUGCAGCGACGCCGUGUGUGGGAUGACGGGGCUUUGCCCUGUAAACCACUGUCAGAUGGGAAGAAAAGAACCCUUUGGGUUCCGGGACUGUACCAUCAGAGGAAGGACCGGCUAACUACGUGCCAGCAGCCGCGGUAAUACGUAGGGUCCAAGCGUUGUCCGGAUUUACUGGGUGUAAAGGGUGCGCAGGCGGACCUGUGCGUCUGGGGUUAAAGACUUCGGCUCAACCGAAGAAGUGCCUCGGAUACGGCAGGUCUUGAGUACGAGAGAGGAUGGUAGAAUUCCUGGUGUAGCGGUGAAAUGCGUAGAUAUCACGAGGAGUACCGGUGGCGAAAGCGGCCAUCUGGCUCGUUACUGACGCUCACGCACGAAAGCGUGGGGAGCAAACAGAUUAGAUACCCUGGUAGUCCACGCCCUAAACGAUGUAUGCUUGGUGUUGGAUAUGUAUUUAUUCAGUGCCAGAGAAAACUCGUAGCAUACCACCUGGGGGAGUACGAUCGCAAG